AAAUUAUAAUAAUAAAACACUUUAUUAAUGGCAGUCAAUUGAUUAUAUUUACUAUCUACGAGUUUUAGGACAUAAAACCCAACAGAGUCAAGAAGUCAUCGAUUACAUGGUGAGACGGCAAGUGCACAGGAAGAUGAUGAAAUUAACUGAUUUAGCAAACUUUGGAGAUCACUUAUCUGAAACUGAGGGGUGGUAGGAUUAUCUGAAGUAGCAGCAACAACAGAGGAGUUCCUGGGUUUAGUGAAGUUCUUUGCUCUUGUAGAAUAGCUUCGAGGUCGAGGUGGUUUUAUGGGACAAUUAUCCAUAAUAUGACCUAGUUUAUAGCAGUACCUGCAUUCUAUUUUAGGACAAUCAAUAAAUUGAUGACCAGUGAGCUUACAAUUCUUACAAAAUGUGCUUGAUGCUCUAGGUGGUGAAUAAGUGCUGGCAAGAACAACAUCAGAAUGUUUAGAGAGAUUGAUGCCAAGAUGUUUUUCUUCAAAUAAUAUUUCUUGGAUAGCAGCAUCCAAUGAGGGCAAGGGACUGCGGUGUAACAAGGUAGCCCUAAUAGAUUCAUAUUCUGGACGAAGUCCCAUAAGGACUUUAAUAAGACGAAUAUUAUCUUUACUAAUUUUAGCUUGAUCAUGUUGAGUCCAUAUAGGUUGAAGCAUGGCUAGUUACUCAUUGACUGAUUGACCAGCUUCUUAAUUAAGAUUAACAAGAUUAUUGUGCAAUUGAUAGUAAUGCGCUAAUCCGACGGACUUAAAUCGUGUAGACAGAAAAUCCCAUUACUCCUUAGCACUUUUAGAAGCAUCAAAUUGUGUAUAGAUAGCAGGAAUUGAUGUGUUACUAAGCCAGGUGAUAAUCUGAUGAUUUUUGUUGUCCCAUUCUUCAAGGCGUUCGAUAAAUUUGUCAUCAUCUUCCUUGUCUUGUUUGGUCGGCUUGGUAAUAUCACCCGUGACAAUACGCCAUAAUUUUUGUCCAAUUAAGAAGCUUUUUAUUUGAUUUGCCCAUGUAAUAUAAUUAGAGCCAUUAAGAAUUGUGCUAAUUAGACGAGCAAUUUCACUUUUCUCCAUCUACUCACAAGAAGAAACCAAGUCAGCGAACGACAAUAAUAAAUAAAUAAAAUGAGGGGGUUUUCGGGUCGGGUUUCAGGCUAGGGGCUGCGUGCGGUUUCGGGUCGGGUUUCGGCGUGAGGAAACAGGAGCUGGAGCGAGUUUCGGAUUUCGGCUUCAGGUCUCACGAAGAUGAAGACGCACGCUCAAAUUUCGGCUUCGGGUCUGUGAGGAGACAGCGUCGGAUCUGAUGGAGAUGCACGCUCGACUUUUGGGUCUGAUUCCGGCUUCGGGUCAGUGAAGAGACGGCGUCGGAUCUGAUGGAGACGCACGCUCGACUUUCGGGUCGGAUAGGCACGCGAAGACAUAUGAUGGAGCGGUUUUCGACUUUCGGCUUCGGACGGCUGGAGACGGGUUUCACGGAGAUCGGAGCGUCGAUGGAGGUCAGAGAUUGGAGCGUGAUGCGGCUAAGCUUCGAUGGAGGCGGUGGCUCGUGCCUGGCUUUGACUGGGUUUCACGGAGACCGCCUCCCACGCACACAAACUGGCGCGGCUUCGAAGAUCUAGAAGUGCACAGAGAAGACGCGGGCGUCGGAUGGGUGUCGGCGGCGGCGAACGCAGGCGUCGAAUGGGUUGUGACAACGGCGGUUUGAACAGUAACCUAGGUUAAAGAAGGCUCUGAUACCAUGUAAAGUUAUUAUUGAAUAUUUUCUCUUGUAUGUUUACAUCAAGGAGAAGAGGAGAUAAAUACAAGUUCCUAUGAGAUAAGAAAGGCAACAAAUAAUACAAAAUAAGAUAAUAUCUUCUUAAUUACAAUAGAAUAUAUAUACAUUAAUAAAAGACAUGCAUGAAAUAGAUA